AAUCCAUGGUGCUGGCAUAUUUGAAUCAACAUUUUGAAGUGUCCCUAUGCCUCAUAGAAGCUUUCUCCCUCCAUUUGCCUAAAGACAACAACGUCUCUUCUUAGUUG